AGGACAGGAAGGCAGCAGCCC
rnacentral:SRP_RNA from 1 species